ACCACACGAAGCAAGAUGGUUUUUAAGCACUUGGGAAAAUUCCAAGAAAUACAGUUACUUUAGAUUCCAAAUGAGAGAAAAAGGAAAUUAUCAAUGGAGGUGAAGGAUAUGGUCUUCAUGAACAAAGGAGAUGGAGAAAAACAGCUAUGUCAAGAUCGUGCAGGAUUGAUGCUAAAAGUGGCAGCCAUAACCAAAAUAAACAAGUAAAUUACUUGUAAACAUAUCCAAAAGAGAGAGGGUAGGAUCAUGUCGAGAUUGUCAAUCCUGCAGUCUUAACAUAGCUAUUUUCUCCUCUCCUUUGUUCAGAGUAUUUCCUUCGCCUCCAUUGAUAUUCUUUUUUUUUCUCUGUUUGCAAUCCAAAAUGAGAUGGUAUUCUGUUGAAUUAUACUUAAAAGAUAUAUAUUUUGUUUAUUUCUUUAAAUAGCUAUGUCAAGAGCUGGCUCCUAAUGGCCGUAUGGUCUUGAUGUUUAAUGGACGGCAAACUGCCGAUCCCACAAACAAAGAUAGCUGCUGCAAAUGGGAUCUUCUUGCAUGCUGAGGCCUUAUCCUACCUGGUUUCACAGUUGUAGGGAUUAAUUGAUGAAGAAAAAUUAGGGUUCCUUCAAUUUACCCUACGACAAUCCAAUCCCUCCCAAGAAGAAGUUGAGUACUUGGUAGGCACGGAAGGUUCUUUGACAACCGAGUUCAUUGACACAAUUGCACUGGAGAUUGGGUGUCAAAAUGGAUGGUCGAGCCUAGAAUGAAGAAUCAAAGGCUACAGAUGCCUUUCGGAGCCCAUUUUCUCACACCAGUUCGGGGAGGAGGUGAUGGACAAGCUAUACGACAAGGCCACACACGGCGGCGGAGGAUUCUUGUGGAGGAUUACAAACAUGGAAAAGAAGCAACCAAGACUAUUAGCAUUGCUGUUGUGCUGAAAAAGAAAGAACUCUGACUUGAAGCUGGCAAAGAAUCAGGACCAAUGGCAUAAAUAAUAGUAUGAAUUUGCUGUAAGGAAUAAGGAGAAAUGUCAAUUGACCAUGUCUAAGUCUUUAGAUUACGUAAAGCUAUGACAUGAAAGUAUCUUGAAACUUUGUUUUUCUUGAUACUAAGAUGCCAAGUGGCAUUAUAUAUAUAUAUAUAAUAUUAUCAAUUUUUUAUAAAUAAAUUGAAAAUGAUUAGUUGGGGAAAUUGGGUUUUGUAGAAAUUUGAGUUGUGAUAUAGCGGAACCUAAAACUAUUUAAUUUUGGCAUAUGCUUGCUGUAAAUUGGCAUGCACACAAAUGAA